UGAGAAGGAGCUCAAUGGUAGAGCACUUACCUAGUGUGCAUGAGGCCCUGGGUUCAAUCCCUAAUAUCACAA
rnacentral:tRNA from 1 species